UGAACGCUAGCGGCAGGCUUAAUACAUGCAAGUCGAGGGGCAUCAAGGUACACGAAAGUGUAUUGUUGGCGACCGGCGGACGGGUGAGUAAUAGGUAGGUAACCUACCUCAUACUGAGGCAUAGCUGGGAGAAAUUCCAGGUAAUUCCUCAUGAGGUUAUAUGACACAUGUGAUAUAAUCAAAGGUAUCGCAAGGUACUGGUAUGAGAUGGGCUUACUGACCAUUAGCUAGUUGGUGAGAUAAGAGCUCACCAAGGCGAAGAUGGUUAGGGGUUUUGAGAGAGAGAUCCCCCACAUUGGAACUGAGAUACGGUCCAGACUCCUACGGGAGGCAGCAGUAGGGAGUAUUGGGCAAUGGGCGGAAGCCUGACCCAGCCAUGCCGCGUGAAGGAAGACGGCCUUAUGGGUUGUAAACUUCUUUACUAUGCGACUAACUAGAUUUACGAGAUAAUUCUAUAGAAUGUAGCAUAGCAAAAAGCACCGGCUAACUCCGUG
rnacentral:rRNA from 1 species